GCCAGGAGGGAUUUAAAAAUUAGCAUAGGGGAAAGGGAUGCCCUUUAAGGGGCCUCUUAAGCCAGCUGAAAGGAGUGGCUCUAUUUGUGAACAGACCAUAGGGUGUGCAGGACAGAGCAGUUCCAGCCUGUGUUGUGUUGUCCAGUGUGUCUUCUGUGUCUUUGUUCUCCCUUGGAUCAGAUCUCGGAGGCCUUUUCCCCUCAGGGGGCUUAUUGCAAGUGUCAGCCAUCAUCUCCAGGUGCUUAAACAUUCACUCUUGUCGGCACGAUGCCGAUCUCGUUUGUUCUUUUACGGUGGGCUUGGCUGUGUCUUGGCAUCCCAAAUCAGAAGUACCGAGUCAGGUGUCUUUUGAGGCCUUGUUCCCGGCUGUACUGCCAUCCAUCCUUUCCAGCCGUGAGCUGUAAUGCCCUGGGGCUUGUAAGAUUGUCAGGAUAUGGGAGCAUUCUGAAUGUGGCACUGUCUCACAGCCAUCUUGAUCAUUGUGACUGACAGCUCUUAGAACAGGUCACUGUUCCAGUCUUUUCUUCUGCUCCUGAGAGCCUCCUGUGUCCACGGUUGCCAUACCAUUGGUCAUCUCUUUUGGCAUCGUGUCGAUCCUUGCUGUUGUUCUUCUUGCUGAGAGCUUUUUUAAUCAUCCUUGUGUCACACUGUAGCAUCAUGUGUUGUUUGUGUUUGGAACUGCUCUGUCCUGUGGAGUAGAGUGGGGGGUAGGUGGAGUGGGGUAUGGGCACCAGGGGACCCGUGGGCAGGAUGAGUACCAGCAAUGGAGAUGAGCAUUGAUUCCAGCACAGAACUGGGUGCUACUGGAGUUGCUGUAUUAGUGAUGGAACUGUAAGCAUUUUUUUGUGUGUUUUACAGGUGGUCUGUAGCAUUCAAACUGCUGGUCCAAUGUGACAGAGACCCUUGCAGCAAGAGGUCACGGUUGAACGGUUUUGGAUGGAAACUCCCCCGGCAAUGUGACACUUUUGGACCCUGUGUGGGCACGUGCCUUUCUGUUUUGUUUUGCCCCUUCUCCCCCUGGGAAGGAAGUGAAGCCAGAUAGCAGCAGUCAAGGUCAAGUGAGCAAGGUGUUCCACUUGUAUUUUGCCUACCAGGGCUGAGCCCCCUUGCUGACCAGCUGACAGAGCUGGUUUGGCACCCUCGAGUUGCUCUUGCGAGCCCUCUGGAAGUAUUACAGGAAUCUGUGAUGAAGCUGUUACCUUUUCCAUUUGGAGGUGUGCCCUGCGACGACGGCAUCGGCCUCUGAGUGUGGCCGGAGCAGGCGGGCCGAGGACCCGGGCAUUCUUAGGAGAUGCCAACUAAGGGAGAACAGCCCACUGAGGGCAGGACCUUCCCAGAUGGCGAGGCGGCCGUCUUUUGCACCCGACGCAGACGGAUUAAAUCCCUGGCAGAGUGCCCCAUACCAGGUGAGGGGGUUCCCAUGGGAAGGAAGUAAUGCUGGAUAUUGGCAGUCAAGGUUGAUGGAGUGAGGUGGUCCACUUGCAGGAUGUCCUGGCCCUGGAUGCUGGAGGGUGCAAGCCUAAGGUGCUGCUGCCGCCCUGGGCGUGCCAAGGGCCAG